rnacentral:rRNA from 1 species
AACGAACCGUGCGAACGUUGUUCGGAAUCACUGGGCUUAAAGGGCGCGUAGGCGAGCGAUCAAGUCAAAAAUGAAAUCCUCCAACUCAACCAAAGAACUACCUUUGAUACUAGUCAUCUCGAGUGAGGUAGGGGCAUGCGGAACUGAUGGUGGAGCGGUGAAAUGUGUUGAUAUCAUCAGGAACUCCGGUGGCGAAAGCGGCGUGCUGGACCUUUACUGACGCUGAUGCGCGAAAGCCAGGGGAGCGAACGGG